CAAAGCUCUCUGCAACCUCUACAUAGAAUACAUCCUCACACCAUCAUCAACCAUAAAGUCACACUGAUGCCUUCCCUGCCAUAAACUUGCAAAGUACAACCAGGAAGAAAAAACAAAAAAAAAACAACACAACACAGAGCAGCCCAAUAACCCUCCGCAUGAAAUGCCCAACUGCUCAAACAACCAAAAAUAGUGUAUACGACACAACACGAGAUAGGGAGGGAACCAACUGUCAGUCAGGGAAAGGAGGACCCUCUCCCGCCAGCUAGAGCGACUGACCCUAACCCUUCGUUUGGAUUGAUGGAAAUGGAGAG
rnacentral:misc_RNA from 1 species